GUCUUCACUUUGGCAGCACAUAUAGUAAAAUUGGAACAAUACAGAGAGGAUUAGCAUGGCCUCUGCUCAAGGAUGACGUGCAAAUUCAUGAAGCGUUCCAUAUUUUU
rfam:Pteropus alecto contig108381, whole genome shotgun sequence.